UGGGGAAUUUUGGACAAUGGGCGAAAGCCUGAUCCAGCAAUGCCGCGUGUGUGAAGAAGGCCUUCGGGUUGUAAAGCACUUUUGUCCGGAAAGAAAUCCUUGGCUCUAAUACAGUCGGGGGAUGACGGUACCGGAAGAAUAAGCACCGGCUAACUACGUGCCAGCAGCCGCGGUAAUACGUAGGGUGCAAGCGUUAAUCGGAAUUACUGGGCGUAAAGCGUGCGCAGGCGGUUUGCUAAGACCGAUGUGAAAUCCCCGGGGCUCAACCUGGGAACUGCAUUGGUGACUGGCAGGCUAGAGUAUGGCAGAGGGGGGUAGAAUUCCACGUGUAGCAGUGAAAUGCGUAGAGAUGUGGAGGAAUACCGAUGGCGAAGGCAGCCCCUGGGCCAAUACUGACACUCAUGCACGAAAGCGUGGGGAGCAAACAGGAUUAGAUACCCUGGUAGUCCCACGCCCUAAACGAUGUCAACUAGUUGUUGGGGAUUCAUUUCCUUAGUAACGUAGCUAACGCGUGAAGUUGACCGCCUGGGGAGUACGGUCGCAAGAUUAAAACUCAAAUGAAUUGACGGGGUCAUAGCUGUUCC
rnacentral:rRNA from 1 species